rnacentral:rRNA from 1 species
UGCCCAGGGGACGUGGAUAACCUCGGGAAACUGAGGAUAAACCGCGAUAAGUCAUUACUUCUGGAAUGGGUAAUGACUAAAAUCUACAUGGCCCCUGGAUUGGACUGCGGCCGAUCAGGCUGUUGGUGAGGUAAUGGCCCACCAAACCUGUAACCGGUACGGGCUCUGAGAGGAGGAGCCCGGAGAUGGGCACUGAGACAAGGGCCCAGGCCCUAUGGGGCGCAGCAGGCGCGAAACCUCUGCAAUAGGCGAAAGCCUGACAGGGUUACUCUGAGUGAUUUCCGUUAAGGAGAUCUUUUGGCACCUCUAAAAAUGGUGCAGAAUAAGGGGUGGGCAAGUCUGGUGUCAGCCGCCGCGGUAAUACCAGCACCCCGAGUGGUCGGGACGUUUAUUGGGCCUAAAGCAUCCGUAGCCGGUUCUACAAGUCUUCCGUUAAAUCCACCUGCUUAACAGAUGGGCUGCGGAAAGAUACUAUAGAGCUAGGAGGCGGGAGAGGCAAGCGGUACUCGAUGGGUAGGGGUAAAAUCCGUUGAUCCCAUUGAAGANCACCAGU